rnacentral:antisense_RNA from 1 species
CUGUGUGCUCCUUAUGAGAAUCUAAUGCCUGAUGAUCUGUCACUAUCUCCCAUCACCCCCAGAUGGGACCGUCUAGUUGCGGAAAACAAGUUCAUGGCUCCCACUGAUUCUACAUUAUGGUAAGCUGUAUAAUUAUUUCAUUAUAUAUUAUAAUGUAAUAAUAAUAGAAAUAAAGUGCACAGGCCGGGUGCGGUGGCUCAUGCCUGUAAUCCCAGCACUUUGGGAGGCCGAGGUGGUGGAUCACCUGAGGUCGGGAGUUCGAGACCAGCUUGACCAACAUGGAGAAACCCCAUCUCUACUAAAAAUACAAAAUUAGCCAGGCGUGGUGGCGCAUGCCCGUAAUCCCAGCUAUUUGGGAGGGUGGGGAGGACUGGUUUCCUUGCCGUGUCUUUAGCUAGCAGCACAAAUCCAGGACACCUCAUCCACCUGGCCAAGAACACCAGGUUUGAUGCAGGAGCAGGACAGUUUGAUGUGUGUUGGGAGAAUGAGUAUAUAGGAAAAUAAUUUCUCGACUUCCUUCUCAAACACCUCCAAUGUGAGAGCAAUAAGAAUAAAGUCA